UAAAGACUUCUUCUCUGCUAAAUGUCACAGUGUGACAUGUUCUUCCCUGGUCAUAUCAGGUGGCCAAAAAGUAUGAGAGGUGGGGCUCUCUGCCACCUCCAAUGAACUGUCUCUGCACUUACUUCAUGGAGCUGGUGACACCCUCAGAGUCAUCCUCAAUUACAGAUUCAACUACAUGGAGCCAGGAAGUUUCUGGAUGGCCUGAGCUAACCAGGGCCCUUGUGGCCUAUGCAUUGGGUGAAUGGAUCCUAAGGCCUACAGACUUCCCUGAGGCUAUCUGGCUCUACCUUUAG
rnacentral:lncRNA from 1 species